GUGCUUCCUUUGCUCCAGAUGAAUGUUGAUAAAUUCUUAAGAUUCCAUUAGCAGAAAAUCAUGGAGAUCAUGUUCUUAUUUGGCAUCACUCUAGGUAUGGAGUUCCCACUGUUAAAUCCGUAUACUUCAUUCUUAAAAGAGUUCAGCAUUCAGGUAAUCAACAAAAGAGACCUUCCUCAUCGGAAGUUGCUCCCAAAGUCAUUUGGAAGAAAAUCUGAAAGUUGCAUAUCCCCCAAAGCUUCAAAAUUUCCUCUGGAGAGCUUGUUCAAAUUCCCUUGCUACUAAUCUCAACUUAUUCAAGCGGAAGUGUGCUUUUUCUCUUGUUUGCCCGAUCUGUUUAGAUGCAAAAGAGUUUGUAGAGCAUUUGCUAUUUUUUUGGCCCUAUGCUAAAGCUGUUUGGUUUGGUUCCUCUUUGGGCUUCUACCCUAGGGAAGAAGGCUUAAUUUCUAUAAC
rnacentral:misc_RNA from 1 species